rnacentral:ncRNA from 1 species
AUUAGGACUAUGAAAAAAAUGAGUAAAUACAUUUUUGUCAUAAAGAGAGGAAGUGGAAGGUGAAAACUUCUUGGCAAAAGUAUUGAAGCUGUUUUGGAGUCUAUUAUUUUUAAGAGAUAUAAGUUAUUACUUAUAUAAUUAGGGUGGUACCGCGGAAAUGCUUUCGUCCCUUAA